GUGCCAGCCGCCGCGGUAAUACAGGGGUGGCAAGCGUUGUCCGGAAUUACUGGGUGUAAAGGGUGCGUAGGCGGGUCGGUAAGUCAGUGGUCAAAUCCUAUAGCUUAACUAUAGACUAUCCAUUGAUACUGCUGAUCUUGAGUGCGAGAGAGAUGAGUGGAAUUCCAAGUGUAGCGGUGAAAUGCGUAGAGAUUUGGAAGAACACCAGUAGCGAAGGCGGCUCAUUAGCUCGUAACUGACGCUGAGGCACGAAAGCAUGGGUAGCAAACAGGAUUAGAAACCCCCGUAGUCC
rnacentral:rRNA from 1 species